rnacentral:tRNA from 1 species
GGGAAAGUGGCUCAGUGGUAGAGUGCUUGCCUCGCAUGCAUGAGGUCCUGGGUUCGAUUCCUCAGCACCA